UUAUGCUUCAAUGGUGUGAUGCUCGCCAUGUAAUUGAUGCGCUUGAUUUAUGGUGAUUAAGAGUGAAUGUGUACGAAUGUGAAAUGAAUAGUUUAUUGAUAAGUGAUAAUGUUGGAGUUAUGUCGUGUACGUAUGUAAGAUGAUAAUUUUGAUUAAGUGAAUGUUGAACAAUGCGGUUGUCGAAUGUAGAGUUAUGAAAGCAUAAGUAUGUGUAAAUUGGUUGUGUAUAUUGUGUAUGUGACUAGGUGAUCAUGUAGUUGUAUGUGUUAUACAACAUUAUGUAUGAAAUUAAUAUGAUGUCAUUAAUAUGGUCUAUUAUAUCAACAUAAAUGCGUGUUCGAAAUUGGAAGUUAUAUGCUAGAAGGUUAACUUUCUGAAAGUCAACAGAGAAUUUAUAGCAUGGUUAGGCAUUUUGACACAAAUAUAAGAAUCGAGAGAUCAUGGAAUAUGUGUUAGAUCAAUUAUGUGUUAUGUGUGAUAACGAAUUUGGAUUUCAAAAAUAUUGAACUAUGUGGUUGACAAAUCAUGUCGUAUGCGUGUUAGUGAAAGUCAAUGUAGAUAAGAGUUGGAAAAUGUGUGUUAAUAUGAAUGAGCAUGAAUACUAACAUUAUUAUGGCAUGACGGCAUGAAAGAAUAGGAACCACACUAGCAUGGACCAAGCAUGGAAGGCUAACGGGACAAGACGAGGCAAGGAAGCGGGUAUGAACACGAAUGCACAAGGAACGAGUACAUCGGAUUCUUACGAAAUUUAAGCCCAACC
rnacentral:lncRNA from 1 species